GAUGAAGAACGUAGCGAAAUGCGAUAAGUAGUGUGAAUUGCAGAAUUCAGUGAAUCAUCGAAUCUUUGAACGCACAUUGCGCCCCUUGGUAUUCCAUGGGGCAUGCCUGUUCGAGCGUCAUUUGUACCUUCAAGCUCUGCUUGGUGUUGGGUGUUUGUCUCGCCUCUGCGUGUAGACUCGCCUCAAAACAAUUGGCAGCCGGCGUAUUGAUUUCGGAGCGCAGUACAUCUCGCGCUUUGCACUCAUAACGACGACGUCCAAAAGUACAUUUUUACACUCUUGACCUCGGAUCAGGUAGGGAUACCCGCUGAACUCAAGCAUAUCAAUAAGCGGAGGC
rnacentral:misc_RNA from 1 species